rnacentral:rRNA from 1 species
CACCUCGAGUGUGAGAGGCCCCCAGCCAGACCACUGGGUUGAUAGGCCGGAUGUGGAAGCAGGGACCAAAGACCUGUGAAGCUGACCGGUACUAAUAAGCCGAUAACUUACACCACACACCC